ensembl:lncRNA
CUUUAGUAGCAGCAUUUUUAGUUGUGAAAUGCAAACUCUUAGUUGCGGCAAUGUGGGAUCUAGUUCCCUAACCAGAAAUCAAAUCGGACUCCCUACAUUGGGAGCACUGAGUCUUAGCCACUGGACCUCCAGGGAAGUCUCAAGUGUUGAGUAUUUUUAAAUUCCUGCAUUGCCAUCUAUCUUGAUCUGGCCUGGCCACGGCUUGGCUGACCUUGGAAACCCUGUGUUGAAGAACUGCCAUCUUCAGGCCUGGAACGGGGGUAAACCCACUUGGAAGUCCCACACUGGACUGUUAGAUGGGCAAGAGCUGAAGACAUAAAUCCUGGAGCCCCGUUUUCCCCUCUUUUAAAUAUGCUGCUCCUCAGUCUCCUUCUCUGUACAGUUUCUUCUGAUACCCUGGCCUGUGGUUGGUACCUCCUUAUCUUUUCAUACAAACUCUUGUUAGGGCCUCUAAUCUCGUCCCAUCUCUUUGGGGCACCUUCUGGUCUUCAAGCCUGCCUUCUGCGCAGCAGCUGAAUGAACUCCCUGAAACGAAGCCUGAAGAGAUCUCGUCUUAAAAGGACUAUGACACCCGCUCAGCCUUUGGGCUGCCGCUCCCCUCCAGCCCGCCCAGCUCUCCUCCAUGGAUACUUCUCUAGGCGCAGCCAAGUGAAGAAACAUCUGCAGCCCCAGCAGUCAGGCUGAUUCAUCGUCACAGGUGUGCAAUGUGGCACCCCCGCCCGCAGCUUCUUUUGAACAGAGGAACUUUGAAUCGACAUCAGCUUGAAACCAAGUUGCCUCACUAAUGAUGAUCUGUAUGGAACUCUGGCCUGUCACUCACCAGAAAUACAAACCCCAGAACAUUCUAAAGGCUUUAUUUUUGACCUCUUAAGACAAUAAUGUAAUUUGAGAAGGGAGGGGGAAGCAUAAGACUUAAGUGGCUGGUCAAAGAAUGGGGUCCUGUAACUGACUACUUCUGAGAAAGAAAAGAAAAUAAUGUUGACUUUGUGUUCUUCACAGUAAAUAGACUGUUUUUAUACUGUAUUUUGUACAGAAUUUGCAAUAUCAAUUCCCUUUAGAGUGUGUUUUCAAAAGCCAAUUCUAAGUGUGUUUACCUGGGACUUCCCUGGCAGUCCAGUGGUUAAGAUCCCGUGCUUCCAGUGCAGGGGACGUGGGUUCAAUCCCUGGUCAGGGAACUAAGAUCUUGCAUGCCCUGCGGCAUGGCCAAAAAAGUAAACAAACAAAUAAAAUCAAAACAAAUAGUCUAAGUGUGAUUACC